UACGAAGGGGGCUAGCGUUGCUCGGAAUCACUGGGCGUAAAGCGCACGUAGGCGGAUCGUUGAGUCAGGGGUGAAAUCCUGGAGCUCAACUCCAGAACUGCCUUUGAUACUGGCGACCUUGAGUUCGGGAGAGGUGAGUGGAACUGCGAGUGUAGAGGUGAAAUUCGUAGAUAUUCGCAAGAACACCAGUGGCGAAGGCGGCUCACUGGCCCGAUACUGACGCUGAGGUGCGAAAGCGUGGGGAGCAAACAGG
rnacentral:rRNA from 1 species